ACGAGUCGAGUUGUUUGGGAAUGCAGCUCUAAAUGGGAGGUAUAUUUCUUCUAAAGCUAAAUACCGGCCAGAGACCGAUAGCGCACAAGUAGAGUGAUCGAAAGAUGAAAAGCACUUUGGAAAGAGAGUCAAACAGCACGUGAAAUUGUUGAAAGGGAAGCGCUUGCAACCAGACGUGCCCGCGGGCGCUCAGCCGCGCCUUGUGCGCGGCGCGCUCGCCCGCGGAGCAGGCCAGCAUCGGUUGGGGCGGCUGGACAAAGGCGCCGGGAACGUGGCCCCCCUCCGGGGGGGUGUUAUAGCCCGGCGCGCCAUGCAGCCAGCCCCGACCGA
rnacentral:rRNA from 1 species